rnacentral:rRNA from 1 species
GAGAGCUAGCAAAUCCCAUAAACCGUGGCUCAGUUCAGAUCGUAGGCUGCAACUCGCCUACGUGAAGUAGGAAUCGCUAGUAAUCGCAGGUCAGCAUACUGCGGUGAAUACGUUCCCGGGCCUUGUACACACCGCCCGUCACACCAUGGAAGUUGGCCAUGCCCGAAGUCGUUACUCCAACCCUUGUGGAGGAGGACGCCGAAGGUGGGGCUAAUGACUGGGGUGAAGUCGUAACAAGGUAGCCGUACCGGAAGGUGCGGCUGGAUCACCUCCUAA